AGCUGGAGAAGUGAGUUUGCUCCUACCUGCCUGCAUAGGCAGAGGUGAGUGCAACUGAGAAAGGAAGCAAGGUCUUGCUCCUUCACUGUGAGGUCUUAAUAAGUGGGUAAAAUGCACAGCGUUAGUUUUUCUGUCUUUAACUCUUACUGGGCCACGUCGUUGCAAAAUAAAUAUGAAAAUGG